UAGAGCAACUAAUGGAAGAUGGUCUUUGGAUUGAGGUAAGCAUAUAACCAGAAAUUGACUAUGUCUUAAAAUCCUUUCAACUUCAUUUUAUACCUUAGUUUAAUAAAUCUUUUUCAACAUAACAAUAUAAAAAGUAACAGAGUAGUUUGUUAAAAAAAUGAUAUUUUCUGUAAAAUGAACCAUUGAUUUUUAACAAGGACUGCUAAUGGGGGCCAUUUUAAUAUAAUUACAUGUAAAUUAUGCAAGAUGAUUUUAGAUACACAGCUAUGAUCUUGUCAACAGAACUCUCUUAUUUGAUGAGCUUGAAUUUAAAAAUUCCGUUGGAGGGUUGUUCGUCCUUCCAAGUAUCUGGAUCUUCGUGAACCACAUCCAGUGAGCUUGUCUUGAAUAUGUCGUUUGGGUGGGUAAAUGGGUCGUUGAGCGGUCUCAGGAGUUUGGCUCUGUUAGGAUAUUUGUUUUGCAGACUCAUUUAACUGGUAAGAUCAAAAUAAUAGUGAAAUUAUCUGUUGACUGUUUCCCUUCUCUAUGGCAGCGAUGAAAAUCAGCAAACUGACCAUUACCCAAAAUUUCCUUGAUGGAUGACAAAGGAAUCAAUGUGUUCCGAACCCACCAUUUCUGAUCUUAGAAAUAAGGGAGGUUUUCAGAUGCUUUGAGAAACUUGGCUCGCCCGUUUCACCCUCCAUUAGAUGCCAGAGGCCAAGAAGUUCUGCAAUCAGUGCUUAAGUGAUCGAAACAAGAUGAGAGAUUUGGAAUCGGUUUCAGUGAGGCUUGCUUGAUCUUCAAUAGACAUGGUAGAUGAAGAUUCAAUGCAGACUCUGUAACAAAGAUAAGGUAGAUGAAGAUUCAGUGCAGACUCUGUAACGAAGAUCAGGUCUCAGUAUUAUCAGUACAAGCUCUGCUCAUUGA